CAGCUUGUUUGGAACACAUGGAGUGGAGGAUGGAUAAUUUCCCAAAGAAGAGACAGCAGUCAGAUAAAAACAACAGGAGCAUUACAUCAAAUGUUUGGGUUUAAAAAAUUUUGGGAUGAGAAGAGGCUGAAUGUUCCUGGCUCCUGGGGCAUGGGACUGUGUCAUUCCCUUCAGCUGACAACUGUGAAAAGAAGGCCAUUCGAACCCGUUCUGGCGUUGCUGGGCUCUGCACCGUGAAGUCCUCAGCUAUGUCUCUUUCUCUUCGCACUGUGGCCACAGCGUCAGCAAUGGCAAAGAACACAGAUGACCCCAGGAACAUCCCAGACUCCCCGAGGCCCUGUAAGAAGGCACAUUGGUUUAAGAAACUUCUAUACCACACUACAAGUUUCUAGAGGGUAGGGACCAGGCCUUGUUCACCAUUGUAUCCCCAACCCCUGCACAGUGUUUUGUACACAAAAUCUUCUCAAUAAAUGUUUGUUGGCUGACUUA